rnacentral:tRNA from 1 species
GCAUUGGUAGUUCAGUGGCAGAAUUCCUGCCUUCCACGUAGGACACCUGGAUUCGAUUCCAGCCAAUGCA